rnacentral:rRNA from 1 species
AUUGAACGCUGGCGGCAGGCCUAACACAUGCAAGUCGAGCGGAGCGGAGGACGGGCGAGUAAUGCCUAGGUAUCUGCCUGGUCGUGGGGGAUGAGGUAAGGUAACGGGCGCUAUUACCGCACACUAUUAGAAGAGGCUAGUCUGGAUUAGCUAGGUGGUGGGGUAAAGGGCUAGCAGGGCGACGAUCAGUCACUGGUCUGAGAGGAUGAUCAUUCACACUGGAACUGAGACGCGGUCCAGACUCCUGCGGGAGGCAGCAGGGGGGAAUAUUGGGCAAUGGGCGAAAGCCUGAUCCAGCCAUGCCGCGUGUGUGAAGAAGGUCUUCGGAUUGUAAUGCACUUUAAGUUGGUGGGCGUUACCAACAGAAUAAGCACCGGCUAACUUCGUGCCAGCAGCCGCGGUAAUUC